UCCCUGGUAGUCCAGUGGUGAGGACUCUGAGCUUCCACUGCAGGGGGCAUGGUUUCAAUCCCUGGUCAGGGAA
rnacentral:tRNA from 1 species